CAAUACGAGAGUGGCAGACGGGUGAGUAACACGUGGGAACCUUCCCUAUGGUUCGGAAUAGCUCAGGGAAACUUGAGGUAAUACCGGAUAAGCCCUUACGGGGAAAGAUUUAUCGCCAUUGGAUGGGCCCGCGUCGGAUUAGCUAGUUGGUGAGGUAACGGCUCACCAAGGCGACGAUCCGUAGCUGGUCUGAGAGGAUGAUCAGCCACACUGGGACUGAGACACGGCCCAG
rnacentral:rRNA from 1 species